CAAAUAUAUGCUGAUGACCAUUUUUUUGGAUAUAUUACUGAAGAAAAUACAAGAUUAAAAAGUUUUUGAAAUAAUGGAGCCAAAAUACUAGCACCACUCUUCAGUAUUUCAUUUGGGAGGCCAACUGACUGCCUUUCCACAUUUUAACUUACAAAUAGUGUAUGGAAAGGCCAAAAUAAAUAAAUAGUGUGUUUCCGGUUUCCCGACCCUACCUCUGUUUCUGCCGCCGAC
rnacentral:lncRNA from 1 species